CUACGGGGCGCACCAGUAGGGAAUAUUGGACAAUGGGCGAAAGCCUGAUCCAGCAACACCGCGUGCACGAUGACGGCCUUCGGGUUGUAAAGUGCUUUUAGAGGAGAUGAGAAAGGACAGUAUCCUCUGAAUAAGCCUCGGCGAACUACGUGCCAGCAGCCGCGGUAAAACGUAGGAGGCAAGCGUUAUCCGGAUUUAUUGGGCGUAAAGCGCGUGCAGGCGGUCUAGCAAGUUGGAUGUGAAAGCGCCCGGCUCAACUGGGAGAGGUCGUUCAAUACUGUUAGACUAGAGAAUAGGAGAGGGAGGUGGAAUUCCGGGUGUAGUGGUGAAAUGCGUAGAUAUCCGGAGGAACACCAGUGGCGAAAGCGGCCUCCUGGACUAUUUCUGACGCUAAGACGCGAAAGCUAGGGUAGCAAACGGGAUUAGAUACCCCGGUAGUC
rnacentral:rRNA from 1 species